ACAAUAGAGAUUACCUCAAAUCCUAAGGGAAUCAAAAGCUCUUCAUAGCUACAAAACAUUUCAAGAAAGUUUGUAUUUUUAAUCCAACGUGAGGAGGCAUUAGGGAGUUUGCAGAGUUAAGGCAGAUUAAGGAGAAGAUGAAAGAUAAUUACGCUGAGACUGAUACUUGGAAACAUUAACGUUAUAAGCUCUCCUCCCGGGUUCAUAAGUUCUUGCAUACGCUUUGCCCAUAGAGGUCGCACUUUAGGUUCAAAGGCACAGAAGAAGCUGCGAGAAUCAUCAGAGUUACAUACAUAUCAGACAAUGAAAAUCUUACAAGAAAGAAUCUGAGUGACAAAGAAGAAGAAGAAGAAGAAGAAGAAGAAGAAGAAGAAGAAGAAGAAGAAAUCAUAACGACUUACGGUGCCGCAUCCA